rnacentral:rRNA from 1 species
CCUUAACCUGCUAAAUAGUUGCGCCAACCCUUGUUGGUUGGAUUUUGGCAACUUCUUAGAGGGACUAUGGACGUUUAGUUCAUGGAAGUUUGAGGCAAUAACAGGUCUGUGAUGCCCUUAGAUGUUCUGGGCUGCACGCGCGCUACACUGAUAAAGUCAGCGAGUUUAUAACCUUGGCCGGAAGGUCUGGGUAAUCUUGUGAAACUUUAUCGUGAUGGGGAUAGACCAUUGCAAUUAUUGGUCUUUAACGAGGAAUUCCUAGUAAGUGUGGGUCAUCAGCUCACGCUGAUUACGUCCCUGCCCUUUGUACACACCGCCCGUCGCUACUACCGAUUGGAUGGCUUAGUGAGGAUUUCGGAUGGCCGACGGAUUGCAGCAAUGUGAACCGUUGGCCAGAAGUUGUUCAAACUUGGUCAUCUAGAGGAAGUAAAAGUCG